rnacentral:rRNA from 1 species
CUGUCGGGCCUUCGGGCUCGGCGGCCAAGCGAAAGUGAUAAGUAUCCCACCUGGGGAGUACGUUCGCAAGAAUGAAACUCAAAGGAAUUGACGGGGGCCCGCACAAGCGGUGGAGCAUGUGGUUUAAUUCGAUGAUACGCGAGGAACCUUACCAGGGCUUAAAUGUAGUGGGACAGGCUUAGAGAUAGGCUUUUCUUCGGACUCAUUACAAGGUGCUGCAUGGUUGUCGUCAGCUCGUGCCGUGAGGUGUCAGGUUAAGUCCUAUAACGAGCGCAACCCCUACCGUUAGUUGCCAGCGAGUCAAGUCGGGGACUCUAACGGGACUGCCGGUGCAAACCGUGAGGAAGGUGGGGACGACGUCAAAUCAUCACGGCCCUUACGUCCUGGGCCACACACGUGCUACAAUGGCCGGUACAGAGGGAAGCCACCCCGCGAGGGGGAGCGGAUCUAUAAAACCGGUCACAGUUCGGAUCGGGGUCUGCAACUCGACCCCGUGAAGCUGGAAUCGCUAGUAAUCGGAUAUCAGCCAUGAUCCGGUGAAUACGUUCCCGGGCCUUGUACACACCGCCCGUCAAGCCAUGGAAGCCGGGAGUGCCUGAAGUCCGUCACCGCAAGGAGCGGCCUAGGGCAAAAUCGGUAA